rnacentral:snoRNA from 1 species
UAAGUCCUGAAAGAAAAUCUUGUGUAGAUCAUUUUUUGUUUUGCCGUAUGAGGCUGAAAUCAUGACAGACUGACAUGGACAAUU